rnacentral:rRNA from 1 species
AUGGCCCAGGAGAGCUCGCAGGCCUCCGUCGCGAGCUCACCGCCGCACCCUCCAUCUUCGGCUUUCUGGUGGCGCGACAUGCAUCCCUAUUCCACUACCCCUGCUUGGCCGCCGCCGGCCGCCACAGCGGCCACGCCGCUCUGGACCCCGCUCGCUCAACACAGGACAUCCUCCUCCGGCGCCGACGACGACCUGUCCGCCUCCAACGCCACCAUGCAGACCUCCUUCACCAAGACCUCUACCAACCACUCCGGCAUCAGCAUGGACGACUCCUCAGCCGCCACUGCGGCCGUGCAGAGCCACCUCUGGAACCAAGUCGUCAUGGGCACCGGCGGCGAGGUCGCGAGGAGCAUGCAGGUGGUGCAUGACGCCCACAACGACGACAGCGAGAACUUCCUUGAGCUGCUAAACUCAAGGACGCUCGCCACGGAGCUCUUUGCCGAGCCGCCGGCUUGCGACUAUCUCAAGAAGAUGGAGUACGGUGGCGGCAGCGCAUGGCCGGACGUCCACCAGUUCAGCGCUGCCAAUAUGGACAAGCACCUCCCUUCCGCCUCCGGCCCUGGCUACUGGUCCAUCGCGCCGCCCAACCCGUGCCACGGAGACAGCGGCCACCACCAACGCGUUGGCGGCUCCGGGCCAUGCGAUAACGCCGCCGCCAUGGGCCACGUUGCCAAGGCCCUCUUCCUGGACGCGGACGGCAACGUCAAACACGAGAUGGGUGGGGGCGGCCACGGCGCGAUACUGCAGGAAGCGGCCAGCACCAGCAGCACCAGCAGCCAAGACUUCACGAGGCCCAUCGGGCUAGGGUACAGCUCCAUGCAAGGGCUCAUCAGCAACAGAAUGUAUGGAGGCGGCGCCGGCGCUUAUGACGUUGCCAUGGACGUUCGGUGGGGCAGAAAUGACGGUCGCGACCCUAGGAGCCUGUCGGGCUUGAUAUCGUUCGGCCGGGGGAUGGGAAAGCCUGCGCCUUCCGGCUCCCCGGCGAAGACGUCGUCGGCGGAGUACAAGAAGCAAGGGCGGGAGAUGUCGUCGCCGGUACCUGAGAAGACAAGCACCAGCGGCGGCUGUGGCAAGGGGAGUAGUGCACUAUCCACCAAGGGGAAGAAGAGAUCGGAAGAGGAGAGGGGAUCGGAAGGCAACGUGAAGAAGUCCAAGCACGAGUCCUGCUCGCCCACGUCGUCGUCUCCCAAAGGCCAGGUGACUAAAGUAAAGUUAGGACACAAGAUAACUGCACUUCAACAGAUGGUUUCACCAUUUGGGAAGACCGAUACCGCAUCAGUUCUAUAUGAGGCGAUAAAUUACAUUAAGUGGUUGCAUGAGCAAGUGCAGCUGCUGAGUGACCCUUACAUGAAGUCGUGUAGUAGCAAGGAUUACAAGCCAUGGGUACGGUCUGAUGGGAUGGAGAAGGAAGAUGCAGAGACUGACCUAAAGAGUAGGGGGUUGUGCUUGGUUCCACUCUCCCGCACGCCCCAGGUGUACAUGGAUAGCAACGGCCCGGAUUAUUGGACCCCGCCCAACAGGAGUUGUUUAUUCCAAUGA